rnacentral:rRNA from 1 species
UACGUAGGGGGCUAGCGUUGUCCGGAAUCAUUGGGCGUAAAGAGCGUGUAGGCGGCCAGGUAGGUCUGCUGUGAAAACUCGAGGCUCAACCUCGAGACGUCGGCGGAAACCAUCUGGCUAGAGUCCGGAAGAGGAGAGUGGAAUUCCUGGUGUAGCGGUGAAAUGCGCAGAUAUCAGGAAGAACACCCGUGGCGAAGGCGGCUCUCUGGGACGGUACUGACGCUGAGGAGCGAAAGCGUGGGGAGCGAACAGG